rnacentral:tRNA from 1 species
AUAGCAAGAUAUCUCGGCUGGCUGGCCACCCUUUCAAGGUGGAGAUCAGGGGUUCGAAUCCCCUACGCGCUACCA